UACGAAGGGGGCUAGCGUUGCUCGGAAUCACUGGGCGUAAAGCGCACGUAGGCGGAUCUUUAAGUCAGGGGUGAAAUCCUGGAGCUCAACUCCAGAACUGCCUUUGAUACUGGGGAUCUCGAGUCCGGAAGAGGUGAGUGGAACUGCGAGUGUAGAGGUGAAAUUCGUAGAUAUUCGCAAGAACACCAGUGGCGAAGGCGGCUCACUGGCCCGAUACUGACGCUGAGGUGCGAAAGCGUGGGGAGCAAACAGG
rnacentral:rRNA from 1 species